UAUAUAUUUUUACAUAAAACAACUUUAUGUUACAAUAAAAUCAGAUAAAAAUCACAAAGUUAUAUAAUAAGUUCAUAAAGAAAAAAAUCAAGUUUUCAUUUUAUAGAUAUAAAACCCAGCAUUUACUGCUACUAGGAGUCUAAAUAUUAACAUUGACUGUCUAUGGUCAAUUUGAAAAAAAGAAAGAGAGGAUAGUACUUUAUUACAGCAGACAAAAUGAGGUAAGAGAUGUUUUUACAAUGAUCCAACUGUAGCAAACACUUCAGUUUUCAUUGAAACAUAUACUAAAUAUAAUAAACCCAAAUAAAAAUAUACAUUUAGAGCACUGCAGUGUUUUCCCACAGUUGUAUAUCAACAAAUUGUCAUUCACUAAACUUUACUUGAAACAGUAAAAACAGGGUGUAUGUUUAUCUUUAGUACUAAAACCUCAUAAUAAUCUAAAUAUUUUGGUAUAGCAGACCACACUAGUACACUCUCAGAACUUUCAACUACAAGGGAUAUAUUCAUGUUAAAAACGAUGUGCUUUGUUUGUCAUUCAUGAUGAGACUUAUAGAAUAUUAUGUUCAUGAUCACUAUUAGGCAAUUAAAUGAAAACAUCUAAAUGCUGCAAAAUACUCUUUAACUGAGCAUAGCUUCCUCAUCAUGUACCCAGGUUAAUCAAAAUCCUGCAAACUUAGAAGCUUAGUUCACUAAUCUUAUCAGUCUUUUUAGCUAGUAUAUGGCUAAAAUAAUUAUUGCUGACCAGUGUUAAAAAAACAAACAAACCCAACCCAAACAAAAAUACAAUAGCAGACAGAUUUUUCUCAAGUGCCUUCCUUGUAUGUACCAUUACUAUUAGGUAACUAAAUUAACUAACUUUCAAAAUGUGCAUAUAAAAUUUUUGGAAGUAUAGGCACCUUCAUCUGAAGAUUGUAUGUUCAGGCUACUUGCUUAAAAAAAAAAAAAAAAAAAAAAAAAAAAAAAAAAAAAAAAAAAGAAAAAAAAGAAAAAAAAAAAAAAGAAUAAGAGCUAGUAUAAAACACAGUAGAAAAUCAAAGGCCGGACAUCCAACAUCCCCCAGGGAUGCAAGCAAAGCCCUCCUGGCCAGGACCAGCUCUGCCCACAGCCUGCAGGAGAGGCCUCCUUUGGGAAGCACCUUCAUCACAUUUAUCAUUCAACUCCUGACUCUAUUUCACUUAUCAUUUACUGCAGAGCAUGGUAUUUAAGACAUGCAAACUUCACGUCAGUGAAGCCUAAAAGCCUAAAGCCCUGCCCAGCUCCCGGGGCAUGGCACAGCAUCCAUCCCUGGCCAGGCUGUGUGGGCCAGCCGGGGCUCCCUGCCUCAGGUGCGCCUGGAUUCACCUUGUGGCUGUGGAUUGCUUUUCCUGACACACAGGUGCUCGCUGAACACCAUCCAUGGAAAGAAAAGUGACCUUAGGGUAGCUUUCUGUCUUCCCAUUGCUAAAUUGCGCCCACAACCCUGCAGGCCCAGCCUGGGGCUCCUUGCCGCCCCUCAGGCCCCCGGGAGCAGGCCCUGCCCUUCUGCAAGGCCCCUGCUGCUGCUGAGGCCCUGUGCACAGGAACAGCUUCUCCUACUUUUCACUGGAAGUGGCUGCCCAUAGGCAGAGCCAUGGCUGCAGUGCUCUCCCAGCUCUGUGUGUGGACAUUGUCCUUGCACCGACACCACCCCUGUGUGAUAUGCUGAGGAAUUCUGAUAUUUACAGGCAUGACAAGCCCGGAACUGACUGCCCGGACAAAGGUUGUGGGGCUGGUGGAUCGGUGUGGCCAUCGAGAGCUCAUGGGCAGAGCACAUCUUUCACUGAAAUCUCUGCUGAAAAAAUAGAAAAAAAAAAAAAAUGCUGCUGCUGCAGCCUCCCCUUACACCUCUUCUCUUCAGAUUUAGCACUGGGCUAAGUUGAGCUGAGUGAGGCAUUUCACCCUGACAAGGGUUUUAUCUUUGUAAAUCCACAGGCUCAGGAAGACAGCACUACAUUCCUUACAAACCAUCGAUGCUUUGAUGCCAAGAUAACUCUUUGGAAGAGCCUAAGGAAGAGCUGAGAAACUCCCACCACAGCAAGUUGGUGACAGUAGCAGGGAAUUUUCCUUCUGUCACUUAUGACGCAGCCAAAGGUGGCAAAAAAUUAAUAAGGAAAAGAAAUGAACACUUGGGGAAAAAAAUAACAGCAUAGAGAAGAGAGCAGAAGUCUCUGGACAAUCUGUGCUCUGUUGCCAGUGUUCCCUGUGCCCAACAAACCACGGAGCAAUCGCUGGACAGGGCAGCUGAGCCUGUGCCUGAGCACCACAAGUGCUUUGGCUGGUACCCUUGUAAGACAAUGGCAGUGGCAACAGCAGGCAGGACAGCAGAAACCCUUCCUGCUCACCUUAAUUCAAUGAGCAGCUAUAAAAAAUUGUUCUCCCUAAAUCACUCACAUAAAAACCGAAUCAGAUGUUUGUCCAGAAAAAAAUACAUUGUCCAAAUAAUAAUAAUUUGUUUUCUGGCCACAGAUCAACCCAGUGUAAAACUGUUUUAAGAAAGUACAUCUUUUGAAUGCUUGGAUACAGAAAAUGACAGGUGGUGUUGAACUUCUUAAAGAAAAGACAAUUUUCUUCCAGUGAGCUCACUCACUAAAGGAGACACCAAUUAGAUGUAGACAGAACACUGCAAAGUACUGCAUUUGCUGAAAAUGCACUUCUAGGCCAAACAGAACUACUUGUGAAGUUGAGUCAGAAUUGGCAAAGAAAGAUUCAGCCAAGUAAUAAAAACCCAAAAAGUUUAACCUUCUUUAUUCUGAGCUGUGCAAAAAAUUUCCAUUUUUUCAUUUUGAAAUAAUUUAUUCCUAAUAUGAGACUAAGGUAUUUUUCCAAAAUGUGACAUAUCUAAUGGAAUAUUCUUUCCCCUUGAAAAUAACUCCAUCAAUUUUUUAUGUCACUUUUGCUUUUAUGUAAUACGAGGUAUACCUGUUUAUUUCUCAUUUUGUCAAAACCCCUCAAACCCUAGCAUUAUUCAGCAGCUCUAACACCACCUCAAAGAAGCGUUUCACCCAAAGGCCAGCACAGAUUUUUCUUGCUGAAGCUGCCAGGAAGGCAGGAUGGGAGUGUGGCAGGACCCACGGGGGUGCAGCUGACAGAAACCCACCUGGGAAGUGCCAAGCACAUGUCCUUUGUUAAGGAAAGACCAUGUAAGUGAGGUAGGAGAGAUCCUGCCACAAAAACCACUCAGAGGGAGGAACCUGUGUCCAGAAAGGGAACUCAGGGUCACCCAAGGUGAGGUACAGGCCCCUGUAAAUGUGCUCAGGCUGAGUGGAAGUGGAGCACUGGCCAAGGCAUUGCUGACAGGCACAGGGAGACCAGGAUUAGCCCAGCACCGUGUAACAAGUAAAACCAAGCUCUGCAGAUCCUCUCUUGGACAGGGAUGAGUAUUUCUUGGCCCUGGCAGUAUUUAGGGCCAUCCCUAAGAAGGUGUCUGCCAGCUGAACUCAGGGUGCCCACAGGGACAGGUGAAACUUCAGCUGUGCACAAAAGAAGUCAGUGCAUCCACAGGAUGGUGUGUGCAUUUUGGUGGGGGAAGGCUGGCUGUCCUGUCCUGGUGCUCCCAUCAGGACAGAAGAGGCAUUUCAGUGCUGGGAUGAGUCUCAGAGGAGCAGUGUGAGGCUCUCAGCUUGGCACAUGGGUUAGUGCUGGGCCACCAGACAGCACCAAGGAAUAGGCAGUGUGUGACACCAUCAGUCCCCUGGGGUGGGGACAGGGACAGGGACAGGCCAGAGAGGGCAGCUGCAGUUGGUGCCCAAACUCUCCUGAGAGCAUGCACUGCCACUCUGUUUUUUCUCUUGAAGAGGAAAAAUCCAGUACAAGAGAUGGAAAGCUUAAAAGAGAUGGUGUUUUGGAGAGUUUAAGUGAUUAUACAUAGAAGCUCUCAACUUACUGCUGUUGGGAAGGAAAAGAAAGAAGGCAAUUAUAUCAAGCCCUUGGAGGCUUGAAGGACAGAAUUUCCCACAGCAUAAAGCCGUGUACAGGCAUCCCUAAGAACUCAACAUCAGAGCAAUAGCAGGUACAUACAGAUAUAUACAUCUGGGGCAAGACAGAAGAGACAGGGCAGGGAUUUCUUUAAGGACACUCCAUUGCUCCUCUGGUGGGCACUAAGCACCCAGAAACAACUGCCUGUGCCACAGCUAUGCACUGGCUUAAUGUGCCGCCAUCAAACUCCAUCUGUUUAAUUGAUGCAAUCCCAUGGAAACACUUCUCUUGCAAUUUAAGAGUGGCUUAAUACAUUCCUAAUGAACUGGAUCUGAGAUAGACCUGACUAAAGUGGAAAACAAAGAUCUGGAUUAAACCAAAUAAUCUAAUUUUUUCACAGAGUCUUUUGCAUCCUUUUACCCAGCAUCAUAUUAAAAAGAAUUUAUGUUAAAACAAAGAGAGAAGCCCUAAGAUCACUCAGCAGUAAAAGGAAGAUAGGGCAGAGUCCUUGGUGUAAAAGCAAUGAAGCACUGGGAGGAGCAGGGCCUUGACUGCCAGUAUUGCUUGCAGCUCUUAGUUGUGUUAUCCUGUGGCUCCCAGCUGAUGCAGGGACCAAAAAACAGCAUGGGAGGAGAGGAGAAGCAGGAUGAGCUGCCUUCUAAAUUAUGGUGUAUAUCUGACUUUCUAUCAAAUAAAAAGACUAAAAAUGGAGACUACUUGUGCACGACCACACACUUGCUGACGUCAUUUUCAAUUUUGAGAAGUCUGAUCUAACCCCACAUUAUACAACUGUUGAAUCUUCCAUGCUGGCAAAGUCUAAUUUUCACACGCCUACAUGCUAUGUACCUGAUUUUUAUUUUUAUUUUUAAAUAUCAACAGCCUAAAUAAUUUUUUUUUUUAAAAAGAGACGUCAAUGGUCAUAAUGGUUAUGAAAUGUUCUAGCUUUACAUCCAAUUACAUCCAUUGUUUCAAAGGAGUAAAAGCAAAAAUACUCAAAGUCCAUUCUAAAAAACAGGCAAUGAAGAUAAUGUAACAGUAACAGAUGAAAUGAAAAUUCAAGGGACAAUUGCAGAUCCUAUCUCCACCUUGGGGAUUAUACAUUCAUCUGCAAAAAAGUAUUCAAUGCAUGUUUCAUCUGCAACCCACCUUUCUUUUAAAGGUCACUUUAAUAAUCAAGAUGUGCAAAAAAAAGGAAAAAGCCCUGAAAUUCCAAGAAAAGCAUGGCCAUUUUAUAUCAGUCCCUGCUGGCAAGCACUAAAACAGUGCUUAGCCAAACUGCCGUCUGAAUCAAGCAAAUUACAAUGUCAUGUACACAGAGGCACUUUCCUGAAUUAAUUAAUUAAUUAAUUAAACACCCUCAAAACAGGUUAUGGGGAAAGAAGACAAAGAAGCUGAAGGAAGUCCUGGGGGAAAGAGCCAGGUUUGGGCUGGAUUCUCCUCUCUCACCCUUUUUACAUCCCUGUCUGUGAUGAACUGAACUUCCUUCUCACUGAAGGCCAGGGUAUGACCUUGCAUUCUCAACACAAGCUUAGAGCUGCUGAAUAAUCAGUUCAAGAAUAAAAGAACAUUUCUGCCUCUUGGGUUGAAGGGGGUUUUUUGGUACAACCUAACUUGGUGACCAAUUCCUAUCCUACUGCCAGAGAAAGCAGAAAUCCUAGGAAAGGAUUUUAAUUUCUCAUGCAUCUUAAUUUCUCAAAUUUCUGCCCUGUCAGUCUCUUGGGCAGAAAUUUGCUUCUGAGCAACACCUUCCAGUAACCUUAUGAUGCUUCUCAGAUCCAUGUCUCCUUCCCCACUGCUGCAGAUCAACAACAAUCAAGCUGCACGCAGAGGGGCAUGAGUCCUGUACAAACCAGCAACAUACCACUUUUAAAAACAAGUAUCUGGUCCCCAGACUCAGGUGGGCAUUUUUCAGAGACGCACAUAAUGAUGGAACUACAUGGGUUCAAAACUAAAGGCCAGAGAGAGGUGAUGCUACUAAGCAAGAGAAGCUGUUGUCACUGACUGGUGAGCCACAUGACUUCACGAGCUGAAACUCAUUUCUGCAUUGUUGACUUUGUGCUGUAUGGGUCCAGGCAAGCACAUGAAACCUCUAUCAGAGGCUAUCUGAAAUCCACUGCAUUUUUUUGGCUGAAUUUGGCCUGAUUGACAUGGUCCCUAAAGGUACUGGUAUCUGUGAGAAGUGAUUCUCCUGACUGCAGCUCAUCACAGGCACAUUUUACAAACUGCAGGGGUUCCAGCUAAUCUCUCUGCUCCACCACGGAAUAAAGUCAAUUCUGCUAAGAGUGCUGAUAGUCCGACAAGAAAAUUACUUCUUUUCUGUUUCUAUGGUUGCAACAGCCCUUAAGAAAGAUAUAAAUUUCCCUGCAACAACUAACUGCAUAUUCAUUUUAAGGUAGAUCUAGUUCCAGAUUCCUGAGACAGAACCCUCUAACUGUUCCCAACUCCACAAAGCCAGAGCAGCAAUACAGAAGGUUUCUAAUCGCAACAGAAUUCAGUGAGCAGCAUGAUUGGUUUGGUAAAUAAACAAACAAACAAACAAAAAAAAAAAAAAAAA